GACGAACGCUGGCGGCGUGCUUAACACAUGCAAGUCGAACGGAAAGGCCCCUUCGGGGGUCCUCGAGUGGCGAACGGGUGAGUAACACGUGAGUAACCUGCCCUUGACUUCGGGAUAACUUCAGGAAACUGGGGCUAAUACCGGAUAGGAAUCCUUGCUGCAUGGUGGGGGUUGGAAAGCUUCGGCGGUUUUGGAUGGACUCGCGGCUUAUCAGCUUGUUGGUGGGGUAGUGGCUUACCAAGGCUUUGACGGGUAGCCGGCCUGAGAGGGCGACCGGCCACAUUGGGACUGAGAUACGGCCCAGACUCCUACGGGAGGCAGCAGUGGGGAAUAUUGCACAAUGGGCGGAAGCCUGAUGCAGCAACGCCGCGUGCGGGAUGACGGCCUUCGGGUUGUAAACCGCUUUCAGCAGGGGCGAAGCUUGUGGUGACGGUACCGGCAGAAGAAGCACCGGCUAACUACGU
rnacentral:rRNA from 1 species